CAAGGAAUUUUCGGCAAUGGGCGCAAGCCUGACCGAGCAACGUCGCGUGGAGGAUGACGGCUUUCGGGUUGUAAACUCCUUUUGGGGGGGAUGAUGAUGACAGUACCCCCCGAAUAAGCCCCGGCUAACUCCGUGCCAGCAGCCGCGGUAAUACGGAGGGGGCAAGCGUUGUCCGGACUUACUGGGCGUAAAGGGUGCGUAGGCGGUUGCAUGCGUCGGCGCUGAAAUCCAGAGGCUCAACCUCUGGGCGCGUGCCGAUACGAUGCGACUUGAGGCUCGGAGAGGGUGGUAGAACUCCUGGUGUAGUGGUGAAAUGCGUAGAGAUCAGGAAGAAUACCCGUGGCGCAAGCGACCACCUGGCCGAGACCUGACGCUAAGGCACGAAAGCGUGGGGAGCGAACCG
rnacentral:rRNA from 1 species